GGUAGCGUGGCUGAGUGGUCUAAGGUGCUGGAUUAAGGCUCUAGUCUCUUCGGGGGGCGUGGGUUUGAGUCCCACCGCUGCCA